AACACGUAUGUAAUCUACCCUUUACUGGAGAAUAGCCCGAAGAAAUUCGGAUUAAUACUCCAUAAUAAUAUUGGAAGGCAUCUUUUGAUAUUUAAAGUUCCGACGGUAAAGGAUGAGCAUGCGCGAUAUUAGCUAGUUGGUGAGGUAACGGCUCACCAAGGCGACGAUAUCUAGGGGUACUGAGAGGUUACACCCCCACACUGGUACUGAGACACGGACCAGACUCCUACGGGAGGCAGCAGUAAGGAAUAUUGGACAAUGGUCGCAAGACUGAUCCAGCCAUGCCGCGUGCAGGAUGAAUGCCCUAUGGGUUGUAAACUGCUUUUAUACGGGAAUAAACCCGGGUACGUGUACCCGGCUGAAUGUACUGUAAGAAUAAGGGUCGGCUAACUUCGUGCCAGCAGCCGCGGUAAGACGAAGGACCCAAGCGUUAUCCGGAUUCAUUGGGUUUAAAGGGUGCGUAGGCGGGUUGAUAAGUCAGUGGUGAAAGCCCAACGCUUAACGUUGGAACUGCCAUUGAUACUGUCGAUCUUGAAUGUGUUUGAUGUGGGCGGAAUAUGACAUGUAGCGGUGAAAUGCUUAGAUAUGUCAUAG
rnacentral:rRNA from 1 species